rnacentral:rRNA from 1 species
UACGUAGGGUGCGAGCGUUAAUCGGAAUUACUGGGCGUAAAGCGUGCGCAGGCGGUUCGUUAAGUCAGAUGUGAAAGCCCCGGGCUCAACCUGGGAACUGCAUUUGAAACUGGCGGGCUUGAGUGUGGCAGGGGGGGGUGGAAUUCCGCGUGUAGCAGUGAAAUGCGUAGAGAUGCGGAGGAACACCGAUGGCGAAGGCAGCCCCCUGGGCCAACACUGACGCUCAGGCACGAAAGCGUGGGGAGCAAACAGG